UCUGCCUGUAGAAGUACUACAAAUGUGGCUGCUGUGUGCCUGCAGUAUGUCAGUAGGUGGCAGAGAGGAGAAAGGCUAUAUGCAGUGUACCAGUGUUUUGACCUAUAAAUAUCUGAGUGAUUAGAAGCCUGAAAAA